rnacentral:lncRNA from 1 species
UUAAUUAUACCCCAUGCAACAAAGUUGCGGAGGGUAUAAUGUUUUUGACCCGUCCGUCCGUCAGUCCUGUUUCUUGUCAUCGCAACUCCUCUCAAACCACACAACAGAAUUUCACGAAACCUUUUCAGAUAAUAAGGACAUACUAUGUAGUUGUGCAUAUCAACGGGAAAUUGCGAUUCAAUUUUUUUUCCAGGAGUUACGCCCCUUUGAACUUAUUUACUUUAAUGUACUACUGCAACAGUUUGUCAUCGCAACUCCUCUCAAACCACACAACAGAAUUUCACGAAACC